CCCUAGUAACGGCGAGUGAAGCGGCAACAGCUCAAAUUUGAAAGCUAGCCUUCGGGUUCGCAUUGUAAUUUGUAGAGGAUGAUUUGGGGAAGCCGCCUGUCUAAGUUCCUUGGAACAGGACGUCAUAGAGGGUGAGAAUCCCGUAUGUGACAGGAAAUGGCACCCUAUGUAAAUCUCCUUCGACGAGUCGAGUUGUUUGGGAAUGCAGCUCUAAAUGGGAGGUAAAUUUCUUCUAAAGCUAAAUAUUGGCGAGAGACCGAUAGCGCACAAGUAGAGUGAUCGAAAGAUGAAAAGCACUUUGGAAAGAGAGUUAAAAAGCACGUGAAAUUGUUGAAAGGGAAGCGCUUGCAAUCAGACUUGUUUAAACUGUUCGGCCGGUCUUCUGACCGGUUUACUCAGUUUGGACAGGCCAGCAUCAGUUUCGGCGGCCGGAUAAAGGCUCUGGGAAUGUGGCCUCCACUUCGGUGGAGGUGUUAUAGCCCAGGGUGUAAUACGGCCAGCCGGGACUGAGGUCCGCGCUUCGGCUAGGAUGCUGGCGUAAUGGUU
rnacentral:rRNA from 1 species